rnacentral:rRNA from 1 species
GAUGAACGCUGGCGGCGUGCCUAAUACAUGCAAGUCGAGCGAACAGACGAGGAGCUUGCUCCUCUGACGUUAGCGGCGGACGGGUGAGUAACACGUGGAUAACCUACCUAUAAGACUGGGAUAACUUCGGGAAACCGGAGCUAAUACCGGAUAAUAUAUUGAACCGCAUGGUUCAAUAGUGAAAGACGGUUUUGCUGUUACUUAUAGAUGGAUCCGCGCCGCAUUAGCUAGUUGGUAAGGUAACGGCUUACCAAGGCGACGAUGCGUAGCCGACCUGAGAGGGUGAUCAGCCACACUGGAACUGAGACACGGUCCAGACUCCUACGGGAGGCAGCAGUAGGGAAUCUUCCGCAAUGGGCGAAAGCCUGACGGAGCAACGCCGCGUGAGUGAUGAAGGUCUUCGGAUCGUAAAACUCUGUUAUUAGGGAAGAACAAAUGUGUAAGUAACUAUGCACGUCUUGACGGUACCUAAUCAGAAAGCCACGGCUAACUACGUG